rnacentral:misc_RNA from 1 species
GUUAAGAAGAAAGCCAGAAAGCAUCACCCAAUAAUAUAGCUCAAACUCUUUCUAUUUAUUUGUGCAUCACAUUUCCAAACACCAAAACUUUUUUCCCGUGUUGAAGAACAUGGAAACAGUAAUAAAGAUUUUACAUUCAACUGGAACCCCAAAGAAAUGCAGAGAUAAUUUAAAAUAUCUUCCCAAGAAUUCUCUAACCAAGGUAUAAUAUCCAAUCUCUUUCCAACCAACAUAUAAAUAUUAAGAUGAAUAGAAAAUAUCCCACAAACCAAUUCCAAAAUUUCAUUUCACUUGCUCUUUCGAUAAGAUUGUAGACAACUUGUCACUGAGAUAUUCAAAUGUCAAGACAUUUUUCUUACCUGUUGUAGACCUCUAAUACAUAAAUGAGAACAAGGAAAUCAGAAAAGUAAACAGUGGUGUUUAUUAUUUAUUUAUUUUUUUCUAUCAUGUGAUGAAAGGGUAUAAAUGCUUUUGAACUUUCUAAGUUUCUGUCAGGCGGGAAAAUCUCUGCUGAGAAAGGAAUGAUGAACCCUUGGAAUGAGAAGAUAAAACUUGUUCCAGUGAUCAACAAACGAUCUGUCAAAAUGAUUCUGUUGUAGUGGCACCACAGCAAACUAAUAACCAACCAAGAAAAUUGAAAAUGAGUGUAACUAUUUCUGAAAACAAUUAGAAAUGUCAUAACCCCCCAGAAGCAGUAGUACUUGGAAUGCUCUGCAAAAACUUGCUCCUUGCAACAGGAUCUGUUGAAAAUCGACCGAGUACAGCAAUUGUAGCUGUAUUACUUCCGAACUUCUCAAUACCUCUAGAAAUCAUACAAGUAUGGUUAGCCUCCACAACUACCAUCACAUCUCCAACUAAAAAUGAUGCAACGGUCUCUGCAAUCUGCCUGGUAAGCCUUUCCUGCACUUGGAGCUUGAAACCAUAAAAAUGGACUAUUGACUGUAGAAAAGAUUUUCCAAUGGGGUUGAAUCCCUCAGCACGGAAGUAACCAAUAUGCACAACACCAUAAAAGGGUAGCAAAUGAUGCUCGCACUGAGACCAGAAUGACAAGUUCAACUCAGAAUGUAUAUGUUCUUUGUUAUGGCUGAUGUCCCCACUGGCUUUAAGGGUAUCUGUCUUGCCACAGCCAUUCAACUUCAUCUCCAGUUUUGUAUUCUGGAAGUUCAUCAACCACUUCACAAAGCAGCUAGGAGUUCCAACAAGCUCUUUCCUCAAUGGGUCUUCUCCUAAAGAUCUGAGAAUUGACACCACUGCAGUAACCAUUCCUGGGUUGGGUGGUCCAAUUUUAGCACUCAAAGAAGAUUGUAAUGGACACCAACAUUGCUCCAUAGAGUCCAUCUGAGUUUUAUCCACAUUUAUACCUCUGAACUUCAGAAGACUCAAAAAAUCACACCAAAUAUCAGCAUUUUUAUUUUCGAAAACACCAUAACCUGAUUGGACCAGUGCCUUUACCCAUCCUUGGUGAUUGGAGUCAAGCAAGAGUGACUCUAAAUUUGGGAAAUGGAUGUGUAAACAUUGGAGUAUGAUGGCAACACCUGCCGGCUUGAUCCCGUGGUGCAGUGCGGAGCAAAUUUCAUCUGCCAUACGCUGUGGAUCCUGGAGCCGUCUUGCAAAGACAUCAGCAACUCUAGAUAGCUUGCUUAAUCCUACAACCCUCUGACCAGAUGGGACAUAACCUACAUGACAUUUAACCUGAAAGGGAAGCAAGCAAGACUCACAAUAUGAGAAAAGGUCAAGAUCUCGAACAAUCACAAUCCCACCAGCUCCUCCGGCAUGACCUACUGCAUUAUCCAAACCAGCUUCAGGGAAUAAUGCACUGUGAACAAUGUCCUUUGCUUUCUGAUUAUAACCUCUGGUUCCAUGGAGAAGGGCCUUGGCAACACGAAGCGGGGUCUUUUUGAGACCUUCUCUAUUAAUAUCCUCGCCGAGACCUUGCAAUAGAACUGUCACAGCAUUCUCAAUAGCUAAAGUCUCUGGUUUUUCUUCAAAUCCCAGCUCAAGGCAAUCGAAUUUCACUCCAUUCUCAAGCUCCGCAUUGAAAUGCCCCUCAUCCAAGGCACCCAUCGACAGACCACAAAUCCCACCAACAGUAGGAGUGUAGAUCCCUAAGAAGGGCAAAAAAUAAUACAAGUUAUGGUGUCAAAUAGCUUCUUGGAGACCAAAAUCCAAAAGGAAGCUGGAAGAAUGAUUGAAUUUUGAGGUGCCCAAAGCACCAAAACAAAGUCUUCACGCGUUUCCAAUGAGCGAAUUCUAGAUACGAAUCGCUAUCGAUGAGAAAAUUGAAAGUUCACAGAUAACCAGAUGCAAAAACAAAUAUAAGAUUCGCAUAAAUAAAUCUAAUACUGAAAACGAAGCAAAACCCGGCAAAGAAUGAAUAAAAAAAGUUAAAUCUGAGCUACCCGGGUGAGGAACAAGAGCAAAACAAAGAUGGGUAACCAAAAGAAAAAAAAAAAACCAGGGAGAGCU